CAAACUUCCAGGCAGGCCCAUCGCCAAGUGCAACAGUGUCCUCCAGUUCAUGUAUAAACCUUCCGUACUACCUACCCCAACCAACCCAGAAGUAACAAGUACCUCCUCUCCAUAAAGGACUGUCCUGCUCUGCACUGUCCCAUGCAUCUUACCUACAGCCAAUGUUUCAAUAUUCUGUACCGGGCAACUCCGGAAGAAUCACACCCUCUAGCAACACUGAAAGGGACCCUGGAGAAAGAGAGGAAGAGAGGGAGAUGGAAGAAGCCAACCAGACAGAUGCUUUGUCAUUUGCUUCUUUGCUUGGAACCACUGUAUGUGCCACUUUCCCAGAAGCUCUCUGACCCUGAGUCUUCUGGAUUUUUAUGGAGGCUCCACUGCACACAUGAAUAAGUACAGCAUUGGCUGGUGAUAACCAACUCAACCUUCAGCCCUUCCAUAGAAGUGAAUAAGGCUGAAAGUCCCAACCCUCUAAUCACAUGGUUGGUUUCCCCGGCACCACCCCACAUCCAGAGGCUGUCCAGGAGCCCCAGCCACCAGUCAUCUCCUUGGCAUACAAAAAGACAUUUUCACCUUGGAGAUUCCAAAGGUUUGGGGAAUUCUGUGCCAAGAACACAAUAAAGGUCAAAAUGUAUCUGUUACUCUAAAUGGCAAUAUCACAUUAGGCUACAUUUAUUUGUCUGUAACACAAAACAUAAUUUUUCAUAUGAAUUGUGGCAAAACAAAACAAAAUGUAUGCAAGAUCCAGACUACAGGAUCUGGCCCAUUUCUUCUUUAAUCUUGUUUUACAUGAAUACAUUUCUUAUUCACCUUACUACAGUCUUACUAAUGUUCAUUCUAAACUUCACCAAGCAACUUCAUGCCUGCCUCAGUAUACUUUCCACCCACAAGUUAAAGGGAGAAAGGUUUAUUUUGGCUCUCAGUUUGUAGAGGUUUCAGGCCAUAGUUGGCUGGCUCCAAGGUAGGGUGGUAUGGCAGAGGGGGACCGCAGAGGAGAAACAGUCCAUGUCAUGGUAGGCAUAAGGUAGCAAGCAGCAAAUAGCAGCAGCAAGCCUUUCUUUGCCUUUUAGCCCAUCCAGGCUGCAAGCAUUUUGGGCGAUUCCACCCACACCCAGGGUGGGCUUUCCCAUCAUUCACACCCAGAACUUGCUAAACCAAUCAGUGGACUAAUUUAUUACCACACACUCUUAAUCCUAGUAUCACACACCCAGCUCCCAAAUCCAACCAGCUCUGAGAAGCUCCACCUAUGAGCACAUGAGGCUUUGAGGGAACAUCUAGAUACAAGCCAUAACAUUUAUACAGACUCUUUCCUCUGCUUGGAAUGACUUAUCCCUAGAUUUGCACAUGGAUAGUUCUUUCAUACUAGUAGUCAUAUCUUUAUUCAAAUAUCACCUCCUAUUAAGCAUCCUAAUGCAAAGUAGCACCUUCAUUCCAGUGCCCCUCACCCUGAGUAUCCUCUCAUCUUGUUUAAGCUUCUUCUUAGUGCUGUAUCCAUGUUCCCUCAUUUAUUUCAUUUUACUCAUUUGUCAGUGUCUUUGAUUUCUGCUUCACUCUAUUAGACUUUAAACCCCCAUGAGUUCAAGGACCACUCGGUCUGUUUACAACUGUACCUUCAGUGCAAACAAAAGUGUUUAUCAUAAAUAGGUGUCUAUAAGUAUUUGUUGAACAAAUAAAGCAAAUUAAAGACAUUCUUCCUUUCUGAGGAGACAUAACUGGGGAGAUCUGCAGUCUCUCUUGAGCUUCUUGGGGCUCCAUUUAGAAAAGUGGAAAUAGUAGAAUUAGUAUUCAAAAUUCCUCCCUUUGGCUUUGUGUUCAGUCAAAGAGGCCAUUCAUUUCAGCACAUUAAACUGGUAAUUAUGGGGCCUGGUUUCUCCUUUCUUUAUGUGGAAGGAAUAAAUAGUUAUUAUUGAAUAGUCAUUUAAUAAGCAGUGGUUUCUUUCAGAGCAACCAUUAUUA